rnacentral:rRNA from 1 species
UACGUAGGGGGCAAGCGUUUGUCCGGAUUUAUUGGGCGUAAAGAGCGUGUAGGCGGCUUUGCAAGUCCGUUGUGAAAACUCGAGGCUCAACCUCGAGACGCCGGUGGAAACUGCAAAGCUAGAGUCCGGAAGAGGAGAGUGGAAUUCCUGGUGUAGCGGUGAAAUGCGCAGAUAUCAGGAAGAACACCCGUGGCGAAGGCGGCUCUCUGGGACGGUACUGACGCUGAGACGCGAAAGCGUGGGGAGCGAACAGG